rnacentral:tRNA from 1 species
GGCGAGAUGGCUCAGUGGUUAAGAGCGCCGACUGCUCUUCGAAGGUCCCGAGUUCAAAUCCCAGCAACCACA